UGAGUAAUGCCUAGGAAAUUGCCCUGAUGUGGGGGAUAACCAUUGGAAACGAUGGCUAAUACCGCAUGAUGCCUACGGGCCAAAGAGGGGGACCUUCGGGCCUCUCGCGUCAGGAUAUGCCUAGGUGGGAUUAGCUAGUUGGUGAGGUAAGGGCUCACCAAGGCGACGAUCCCUAGCUGGUCUGAGAGGAUGAUCAGCCACACUGGAACUGAGACACGGUCCAGACUCCUACGGGAGGCAGCAGUGGGGAAUAUUGCACAAUGGGCGCAAGCCUGAUGCAGCCAUGCCGCGUGUGUGAAGAAGGCCUUCGGGUUGUAAAGCACUUUCAGUCGUGAGGAAGGUAGUGUAGUUAAUAGCUGCAUUAUUUGACGUUAGCGACAGAAGAAGCACCGGCUAACUCCGUGCCAGCAGCCGCGGUAAUACGGAGGGUGCGAGCGUUAAUCGGAAUUACUGGGCGUAAAGCGCAUGCAGGUGGUUUGUUAAGUCAGAUGUGAAAGCCCGGGGCUCAACCUCGGAAUUGCAUUUGAAACUGGCAGACUAGAGUACUGUAGAGGGGGGUAGAAUUUCAGGUGUAGCGGUGAAAUGCGUAGAGAUCUGAAGGAAUACCGGUGGCGAAGGCGGCCCCCUGGACAGAUACUGACACUCAGAUGCGAAAGCGUGGGGAGCAAACAGGAUUAGAUACCCUGGUAGUCCACGCCGUAAACGAUGUCUACUUGGAGGUUGUGGCCUUGAGCCGUGGCUUUCGGAGCUAACGCGUUAAGUAGACCGCCUGGGGAGUACGGUCGCAAGAUUAAAACUCAAAUGAAUUGACGGGGGCCCGCACAAGCGGUGGAGCAUGUGGUUUAAUUCGAUGCAACGCGAAGAACCUUACCUACUCUUGACAUCCAGAGAACUUUCCAGAGAUGGAUUGGUGCCUUCGGGAACUCUGAGACAGGUGCUGCAUGGCUGUCGUCAGCUCGUGUUGUGAAAUGUUGGGUUAAGUCCCGCAACGAGCGCAACCCUUAUCCUUGUUUGCCAGCGAGUAAUGUCGGGAACUCCAGGGAGACUGCCGGUGAUAAACCGGAGGAAGGUGGGGACGACGUCAAGUCAUCAUGGCCCUUACGAGUAGGGCUACACACGUGCUACAAUGGCGCAUACAGAGGGCGGCCAACUUGCGAAAGUGAGCGAAUCCCAAAAAGUGCGUCGUAGUCCGGAUUGGAGUCUGCAACUCGACUCCAUGAAGUCGGAAUCGCUAGUAAUCGUGGAUCAGAAUGCCACGGUGAAUACGUUCCCGGGCCUUGUACACACCGCCCGUCACACCAUGGGAGUGGGCUGCAAAAGAAGUAGGUAGUUUAACCUUCGGGGGGACGCUUACCACUUUGUGGUUCAUGACUGGGGUGAAGUCGUAACAAGGUAGCGCUAGGGGAACCUGGCGCUGGAU
rnacentral:rRNA from 1 species